rnacentral:lncRNA from 1 species
CAUUCGGACCACCUCUCGGUCACAUCAACACCAUACUUUAUAAUCUCCAUUCGAGUGCUCAAUCACAGAGCCAGAUGAAUGCUCUCGAGCGUCUUUUUCGCCAAGGUGACGUAACAAUUACCGAUCACGAUAAUCUCUAGCAGUACACUUAGUCACAGAGCCUCAUUAAUGCUCUCGGGCGCUGCUUCCGCCAAGGUGACGUGUAUAAUGGACAGCACUCGUGCGUUCUUUAAGGCGCCGUUUUCACCAAUGAUAAUCUUCAUCACCGAACCACGUAUGUCCAUACUGUUGCAUGUAAUAGACGGCACUCGUGCGUUCUUUAAGGCGCUGUUUUCACCAGUGAUAUCCUUUAAUCACCGAACCACGU